rnacentral:rRNA from 1 species
AAAGCGUGCGCAGGCGGUUAUGUAAGACAGAUGUGAAAUCCCCGGGCUCAACCUGGGAACUGCAUUAGUGACUGUAUAGCUGGAGUACGGCAGAGGGGGAUGGAAUUCCGCGUGUAGCAGUGAAAUGCGUAGAUAUGCGGAGGAACACCGAUGGCGAAGGCAGCCCCCUGGGUCAAGAUUGACGCUCAUGCACGAAAGCGUGGGGAGCAAACAGGAUUAGAUACCCUUGU